rnacentral:rRNA from 1 species
AACGAACGCUGGCGGCAUGCCUAACACAUGCAAGUCGAACGAAACCUUCGGGCCUAGUUGCGCACGCGGGCGUAACGCGUGGGAACCUGCCCUUAGGUUCGGCAUAACUCCCCGAAGGGGGUGCUAAUACCGGAGAAUUUCUUCGGACCAAAGAUUUAUCGCCUUUGGUUGGGCCGGGGUUGGUUUAGCUGGUUGGUAGGGUAAAAGCCUAUCACGGCAUCGUUAGAUAGCUGGUUUGAGAGGAAGGUCAGCCACACUGGGGCUAGGACGCGGCCCGGAAUCCUACGCGAGGGAGGAGAGGGGGAUAUAGCAAAACGGCGGGUGGCAUGAACGAGCAAGGACGGGAAAGUGCUGAAGGCCGUAGGGAAGUGAAGCACGUUUAUCCGGGACGGUAAUGACGGUACCGGGAGAAUAAGCACCGGCUAACUUCGUG